UACGUAGGGUGCGAGCGUUAAUCGGAAUUACUGGGCGUAAAGCGUGCGCAGGCGGUUCGUUGUGUCGGUGGUGAAAGCCCCGGGCUUAACCUGGGAAUGGCCAUGGAAACUGGCGAACUGGAGUGUGGCAGAGGGGGGUGGAAUUCCGCGUGUAGCAGUGAAAUGCGUAGAGAUGUGGAGGAACACCGAUGGCGAAGGCAGCCCCCUGGGUUAACACUGACGCUCAGGCACGAAAGCGUGGGGAGCAAACAGG
rnacentral:rRNA from 1 species